AUUUCAUUUCAGAAAAAUAAAGGGGAUGUGACAAAAUAUUUGUGGUAAAAGGGGAAGUGGAGUCUAAGAGGUUGAGAAUCACUAGUUCUAGGCUCCGAAAGAAAUUUAAAGACAAAGUUCCUGAUACUAACAGGUUAAAGUCCUUUUUUUGAGUUUUUCCCCUUUUAUCUCUGCAUGGCACGAUGGGGCUUCCUACAGUCAGCUGUGCUUCUGCGCCUUGGACGUUUUCAGCAGCUCCCAUUUGACCUCUGAGUUCUCCCUGCAGUGAGUGACACUGGGUGUGGAUUUGGGAAAAGAGAAUAAAGGCAGACAUAGAUGGAGAGAGAAAAAUUUUACCAUAAACUUCCACGUAGAACAAGCCAUUAUAGUCCACAUAAGAGGAAUGAAAAAAAUCAUUCAAGAGAGGAGUCAAAAGAUCUGGGUUGCUUCUAAGUUGGAGAGCAUCUUGGCCCGUGGUCCAUUUCCAAGGUGACACUUGAUGCCUCCUGUGGCCGCCAGGUGAAGUCACUCAGCAGCUUAAUCUGUGCAAUCAGGCCACUGUGUCCUGGCCUGGCCGUGACACUCACCAAUGUGCAGGAGACGAGAUUUGAUUUACUGUGUUCUUGUAACUCACUUUCUAGAACAUUCUGGGAGAAAACGUGACCUCCACAGCAGAGCUUUUGUCAUGGACAAAUAAGAUAAUCCUUACAAACAGGGAGCAUAUUUCCCCUCAGCCUGGCCUCUGCUCUUAGAAGAAUUUAUUCUUCGUGAUUAAGAAUUCAUCUCAAAAUGCUCCCGCACACUCGGCUGAGUGAGGAUGCCAGCACGGUCCUGGGAGUGGAGAUUCUCCAUUAAAUGCUAUCUUAGGGGCAAGCAAGAAAGUGCUCUAAAGUUGUUUUUCAAUGGCGUACCUCCCUACCCCUUUUUCCAGAGGAAACACAAAACUCACAAAAUAUCUGUCAAGAAGCAAAAUACAAUCUAGGUAUUUUAAAAAGAAUCUAAAAGUAAUUCUUAUCAGAAAAUGGCAUGGUAAUUUCAAGGAAAAAUAGAAUUUAGGCCUCAUCUAUGUAUUAAAGCUGAAUUAUAAGAGAAAAUUACAGUAACACCUGAUAUGAGGUGAUUCAAGAUAUUUCCAUGAGUACAUGACUACGUUAUGUGGUCUGAGGUUCCUAUACUUUAUAUAUUUUAAGCAGAGGAAAAAUUAAACCCAUUUUGCAAAUUAGGAGAGUGGGGCUUGGAAAAACCAGUUCCUCCUUUGAAAUGGGCGGUAGAAAGACGGCCCGAAGGCGAAAGCCCAUUUCAUAUAUUUGAAGGGCUGGGGACUCCCCUUUAGGACUGCCAGCCUGUGUCGUGCUGUCCACGGGGACACGCUGUCCAUGGGGACAUGGCAGACUCCGGGCACAGGCUCAGCUGAGCACAAACUUCCUGACAAACACCAUGGGCAGACGCCCCAAAGUGGUGUCCGGAGUCCUCCAGCCCAGCUAGGAGUCCUGCUCCAUCCCAUCCUAGCCACGUCCCUGGGAACAUCACUAAACCCUCCUGAGCCCUAGGUUUCUAUAAACUGAGAUCCUAAUAACAGUCUAUCUCAAAGGGUCAUAAUGAGGAUUAUAUUGAUCCACAGUAAAAACUUGAAAACGCCAUUCAUCCUUAUUACUCCUUUUGCAAAACCGGAAAUCUCUCUCAUCACCAAAUACACUUCUAACAUAAAAAAUAAAACUCAUCAUCAAAAUCUACUUCUAGCAUAAAAAAUAAACCUACUCAGGACUGUCAAGGCAGAACUGAAACAGGAAAAAUGAUCAGAUUAUAAAUGACGUUAAGAAAAGACAUGGGCAUGUGCACAGAUCCCAGGGUUUUACACUUCAUGAAUUCAUGUUCCAGACACAAGCCGAGACUCACUGGCAAGGAGAAACAGGUCCUUGACUAAAACCCAGGUCCCUACCAGAGAACAAGCCAGCCGAGGGGAGGGCCAGGGGCCCACGGGUGUUCACAGAUCCCAGCCUCCCACUGGAUUGCUGGAACCUUAAGACGUACAGGCCUGCAUGGCCUUUACACUGUCUGGAUCUCUUGACUAUUUGAUUUAGUUAUUGUAUUAUCUGCUUGGAUAAAUGUCUUUUGCAAAGUCACAACUGAUUUGUUUUCCUGUUAUUUCUUCAUAUUCUAAUGUCCUUUUGAGAAAGUCAUAAAAGGCUGCAGACUCCAGCUUCUGGGGAUAACUCUCAAGACUAACUUUCCCAUAACACAAGUUGCCAGUUUUACCAAAUUGAUACCAAAUUUGAAACAAAGAUGGAAUCAGUAAAAAUAUGGGGAGGGACUUCUGCUUUGAGCAAUAUGGACAAGAGGCUUUUCAUGCUUCAAAGACACAGUGGACGGAGAAAGGGGACUUUGAGAGAUCCUGCGUCAGAGUGUGUGGCCCUUUAACUAUUGUUUUUACUAAAAAGGCGUAAAGUACCACAAUGGAUGAUAAGGAACAGUUAUUAAUUGUUCAAUAUUUAAAGCAAACAAAGAUUGUGUCAAUGAGGCAAACGCAAAAAAGUUUUCAAAACAUCUUUUCAUCACUUGUAAUCCGGAACUCUUCCAAACAGGUAUAAACAAGCAACCAUAAAAUCAAAUCAUUUUCACAAUCAAAGAUAAGCCUUCUUCUUGGGAAUCUAGUUCUCUCAGUUUCCUUCAGAACUGCAGGCUUUUUUUUGGAUCCAUGGCCUAUUCCUCUUUGAAUUCCUAGGACCAAGCAUAGUGCCUGGUGUAUCUGUUGAGUAUUUAUUGGGUGAAGAAUGACUGUAUCAGGUAAAGAAAUGACAAGGUAUUUAAAUGUUUGAUUAGCUGCAAAGUGAGAUUCUUUUUACUGAGAUAUUGAGUAUUUAUGUGGUGCAGGAAGAUACUGG